rnacentral:rRNA from 1 species
AGAGUUUGAUCCUGGCUCAGAUUGAACGCUGGCGGCAGGCCUCAUACAUGCAAGUCGAACGCGAAAGUACCUUCGGGUGCGAGUAGAGUGGCGGACGGGUGAGUAACGCGUAGGAAUCUACCCGGUAGUGGGGGACAACCUGGUGAAAACCAGGCUAAUACCGCAUACGCCCUUCGGGGGAAAGCGGGGGACCUUCGGGCCUCGCGCUAUCGGAUGAGCCUGCGUCGGAUUAGCUAGUUGGUAGGGUAAAAGCCUACCAAGGCGACGAUCCGUAGCUGGUCUGAGAGGACGAUCAGCCACACUGGGACUGAGACACGGCCCAGACUCCUACGGGAGGCAGCAGUAGGGAAUAUUGCGCAAUGGGGGAAACCCUGACGCAGCCAUGCCGCGUGUGUGAAGAAGGCUUUAGGGUUGUAAAGCACUUUCAGUGGGGAGAAAAGGUCAACGGUUAAUAACCGUUGGAGUUGAUGUUACCCACAGAAGAAGCACCGGCUAACUCCGUGCCAGCAGCCGCGGUAAUACGGAGGGUGCGAGCGUUAAUCGGAAUUACUGGGCGUAAAGCGCGCGUAGGCGGUUUGUUAAGUCGGAUGUG